UCUCAGUUCGGAUCUAGGCUGCAACCCGCCUGCGUGAAGUUGGAAUUGCUAGUAAUCGCGGAUCAGCAUGCCGCGGUGAAUACGUUCCCGGGCCUUGUACACACCGCCCGUCACACCAUGGGAGCCGGUAAUACCCGAAGUCAGUAGUCUAACCGCAAGGGGGGCGCUGCCGAAGGUAGGCCCGGUGACUGGGGUGAAGUCGUAACAAGGUAAC
rnacentral:rRNA from 1 species